rnacentral:rRNA from 1 species
UCCGUAGGGGGCAAGCGUUGUCCGGAUUUAUUGGGCGUAAAGAGCGUGUAGGCGGCCAUACAGGUCCGUUGUGAAAACUGGAGGCUUAACCUCGAGACGUCGAUGGAAACCGUAUGGCUAGAGUCCGGAAGAGGAGAGUGGAAUUCCUGGUGUAGCGGUGAAAUGCGCAGAUAUCAGGAAGAACACCCGUGGCGAAGGCGGCUCUCUGGGACGGUACUGACGCUGAGACGCGAAAGCGUGGGGAGCGAACAGG